rnacentral:lncRNA from 1 species
GGGCUCUGCUGCUCCCCGGGGUUCCCUGCAGGGAGUGCCGCCGGGAAGGUCACGUGACUCACCUGAGGCGCCAUGGCCAAUCGGGAGACACUUCUGCAAGCACCAGGGGGCGUCUUCACCCCAGGCUGUCUCCCAGGAACCCUUGUGGCAGGAUCCAUGUUGGAGGCCGCCUGACUCCCGCAAGACCCUCUGGCCAAUGAGGAGCAGCUCUCUGGAUACCCUGCAGGGGGCACUAUACUCACAGUCACGCGACUCUCACCAUGCCCUGCGGCAAAUCAGCAGCAGCUGCUGUGCACCUCUGCACCAGGGGGCGCCGCCUGGGAAGCGAGACUCCCAUGAGCCUUUGCUGCAGGAGCCAUUUCAGGGGUCACAUGACUGCCUCGGGGCUCUGUGGUGUGCCCCAUAUUGGAAGUCACGCAGCUCCCAGGAUGCCCUGGGGCCUGCAAGGGAGGCGCUUCCUGAGCCCCCGCCCCAGGGAGGGCCCGGGUUCAGGUCACGUGACCCCCGUGAGGCCCCACAGCCAAUCCGGAGCAGUGCACAUGAUGCCCUACAGGAGGCGCCGUGGCAGCCGCCACUGGCCCCCCCAGGCCCUCUUGGGGACCCCCUCCUCUGGAUGCUGCGAUGCCACCGCCGGGCCGUAAGGGAACGCCUCCGGGCCAUUGAGACCCUCCUGGAAUGCCCACCUGGGCACCCCCAACCCAUGGUGGGGACAAUAAAGCAAUGACACUCCAAAAUUGCUCCAGGGAGGUGGGGAGACCCCCAAAACUCCCUCCCUUACCUACCCCACCUUUGGGAUUGCCCCAAAUCCCUUCUCCCCCAAAGUGUCCCCAAGAGCAUUUGGGGGGUUCUGGGGGCUCCAAAGCGGCUGUUGGCGGGGUGCUGGGUGUCUCUAGGGGGUCCCUGAGGGUCUGUGGGGCGUUUGGAGGGGCUCUGAGGCUGAGGAAGGGAUUUGGGGGGUUUAUCGGGAGCGCUGGGAAUCGGGAGGGGUUGGGAGGGCACUGGGUGUCUUCAGGGCAUCUAGAAGAGGUCUAUGGGAUUUUUCGGGGAGACUCUAGGAGCGUUGGGGAAAAUCUGUGAAAGGUAUCGGGGGUCCAGGAAGGACUUUGAGGGGACGCAUGGGCUUUGGAGGGUCUUUAACGGUCCGGGGUCUGUGGGAUGUUUUGGGGCUCCCAGGACAGCGUUGGGGGGUCUGUGGGGACUGGGAAGUCUCUAGGGGCGCCUGGGGGCUUAUUGAACGCAUCGGGGCGGGGAACCCCCAAACCCGUGGGAGUGGGGCUCACCUGUCUUCACCUUCACACGGCCGACAUGGCGCCGGGGGUUCUGGUGUCCCUCCGGCCCUGAGGGNAAAAAACAAUUAAAGUAGUAUGAUAAUAAAUGGUGUGGCUAUUGAACUUAUUUCA